rnacentral:rRNA from 1 species
GAUGAACGCUGGCGGCGUGCCUAACACAUGCAAGUCGAACGAGAAGUCAAGACGGAAACCUUCUUGCGGAUGGCUUUAUUUCGAGUGGCGGACGGGUGAGUAACUCGUGGGUAACCUGCCUCAUACAGGGGGAUAACCGUUGGAAACGACUGUUAAUACCGCACAAGACCACACCACCGCAUGGUGCGGCGGUCAAAACUCCGGUGGUAUGGGACGGACCCGCUUUCGAUUAGCCAGUUGGCGUGGGAACGGCCCACCAAAGCGAGGAUCGAUAGCCGAGCUGAGAGGAUGACCGGCCACAUUGGGACUGAGACACGGCCGAGACUCCUACGGGAGGCAGCAAAGGGGAAUAUUGCACAAUGGGGGAAGCCAUGAUGCAGCGACGCCGCGUGAGUGAAGAAGUAUGUCAGUAAGUAAAGCUCUAUCAGCAGGGAAGAAAAUGACGGUACCUGAGUAAGAAGCCCCGGCUAACUACGUG